UAGUCCACGCCGUAAACGAUGUCAACUAGCCGUCGGGCUCAAUAUAAGGGUUUGGUGGCGAAGCUAACGCGAUAAGUUGACCGCCUGGGGAGUACGCCGGCAACGGUAAACUCAAAGGAAUUGACGGGGGCCCGCACAAGCGGUGGAGCAUGUGGUUUAAUUCGAUGCAACGCGAAGAACCUUACCUACCCUUGACAUCCUCAGAACUUGUAAGAGAUUACUUGGUGCCUUCGGGAAUUGAGUGACAGGUGCUGCAUGGCUGUCGUCAGCUCGUGUCGUGAGAUGUUGGGUUAAGUCCCGCAACGAGCGCAACCCUUGUUUCCAGUUGCCAGCACAUAAUGGUGGGGACUCUGGAGAGACUGCCGGCGCAAGCCGCGAGGAAGGUGGGGACGACGUCAAAUCAUCAUGGCCUUUAUGCCUGGGGCUACACACGUGCUACAAUGGUAGGUACAGAGGGCAGCGAAGCGGCGACGUGGAGCCAAUCCUUAAAAGCCUAUCCCAGUUCGGAUUGG
rnacentral:rRNA from 1 species